CACAUAAAUAAACAGAGGAUAAAAGCACGCCCUGAAGGCAACAGUGAUAGGUUCUGUGUCCUAAUACAUUUCUAGGAUUUUCCAUUUACGUUACACAAAUUAUACUGCAAUAGUCUUUUAACAGAACACCUGCUACAGGUAUAUAUUAGAAAUGAUUAUCAGACUGAAGCCAGUUUAUCUAUUUCUCUUGCCAUAUUAUUGAUCUUCCUUGUCCAAAACAUGGCGCCUACAUUACCCACAAUGCAACUGGUCAGUCGGUGAUACCUGGAGCCGCUGCAGCUGAGAGGAGUCAGUCAGAAAGGAUCAUCCCAGCCCACAUCAAACACCUGUUCAAAGUUCCAGUUUCCUGUACAUGGAACCAUGCCUGUCCUCUGUUCCACAUGUCUCCAGUCAGUUAUGGACUCUAUGACUCGGACACUAGUUCUACCGAGGCUUAUUAGAGUUUGCUUCAAGAAGUGGCUUCAACAGACAGAAGUGCAGGCCAGAUUGGGAAAGGCUGGACGUUACACAACGGGAAACAUUAUGGACAUGAACAAGGAAAAACAAAAAACACUUUCUUUGUUGCCUUUUUCUUAUCAUACAUAGUGUUACUGUUUUUGUUACCAUUUAAAUAUGAAUUCUAUUUAUUGCUUUUAUUUAAAAUCAAAUGAACCCGUUUUAGAUAAUAUAUUUAUUUUGAU